rnacentral:rRNA from 1 species
UACAGAGGGUGCGAGCGUUAAUCGGAAUUACUGGGCGUAAAGCGUGCGUAGACGGUAGCGUAAGUCAGAUGUGAAAGCCCCGGGCUCAACCUGGGAAUUGCAUUUGAGACUGCUCUGCUCGGGUGCGGAAGAGGGAAGCGGAAUUUCCGGUGUAGCGGUGAAAUGCGUAGAUAUCGGAAGGAACACCAGUGGCGAAAGCGGCUUCCUGGUCCGACACCGACGUUCAGGCACGAAAGCGUGGGGAGCAAAUGGG